rnacentral:rRNA from 1 species
GACGAACGCUGGCGGCGUGCCUAAUACAUGCAAGUAGAACGCUGAAGAGAGGAGCUUGCUCUUCUUGGAUGAGCUGCGAACGGGUGAGUAACGCGUAGGUAACCUGCCUUGUAGCGGGGGAUAACUAUUGGAAACGAUAGCUAAUACCGCAUAACAAUGGAUGACACAUGUCAUUUAUUUGAAAGGGGCAAUUGCUCCACUACAAGAUGGACCUGCGUUGUAUUAGCUAGUAGGUGAGGUAACGGCUCACCUAGGCGACGAUACAUAGCCGACCUGAGAGGGUGAUCGGCCACACUGGGACUGAGACACGGCCCAGACUCCUACGGGAGGCAGCAGUAGGGAAUCUUCGGCAAUGGGGGCAACCCUGACCGAGCAACGCCGCGUGAGUGAAGAAGGGUUUCGGAUCGUAAAGCUCGGUUGUAAGUCAAGAACGAGUGUGAGAGUGGAAAGUUCACACUGUGACGGUAGCUUACCAGAAAGGGACGGCUAACUACGUG